rnacentral:rRNA from 1 species
CCCUUAGAUGUUCUGGGCUGCACGCGCGCUACACUGAUGCGCUCAACGAGUUUAUGACCUUGCCCGGAAGGGUUGGGUAAUCUUUUCAAAACGCAUCGUGAUGGGGAUAGAUUAUUGCAAUUAUUAAUCUUCAACGAGGAAUUCCUAGUAAGCGCGAGUCAUCAGCUCGUGCUGAUUACGUCCCUGCCCUUUGUACACACCGCCCGUCACUCCUACCGAUUGAGUGAUCCGGUGAAUAAUUCGGACUGCAGCAAUGUUCAGCUCCUGAAUGUUGCAGCGGAAAGUUUAGUGAACCUUAUCACUUAGAGGAAGGAGAAGUCGUAACA